AUUGAACGCUGGCGGCAUGCCUUACACAUGCAAGUCGAACGGCAGCACGGGAGCAAUCCUGGUGGCGAGUGGCGAACGGGUGAGUAAUAUAUCGGAACGUGCCCAGUCGUGGGGAUAACGUAGCGAAAGCUACGCUAAUACCGCAUACGAUCUAUGGAUGAAAGCGGGGGAUCGCAAGACCUCGCGCGAUUGGAGCGGCCGAUAUCAGAUUAGGUAGUUGGUGAGGUAAAGGCGUCACCAAGCCGACGAUCUGUAGCUGGUCUGAG
rnacentral:rRNA from 1 species